rnacentral:rRNA from 1 species
UACAGAGGUCCCAAGCGUUGUUCGGAUUCACUGGGCGUAAAGAGUUGCGUAGGUGGCAUGAUAAGUCAGUAGUGAAAUGACGAGGCUCAACCUCGUGUCCAUUACUGAAACUGUCAAGCUAGAGAAUGAGAGAGGUCACUGGAAUUCCCUGUGUAGGAGUGAAAUCCGUAGAUAUAGGGAGGAACACCGAUGGCGUAGGCAGGUGACUGGCUCAUUUCUGACACUAAGGCACGAAAGCGUGGGUAGCAAACGGG